CCCUGCCCUUAUCUCUCCCAUACCGCUGCCACCACCACUUUGUCUCCCUCCUCCGAUCCACCUCGCCGCCGGCCCUCCCCCUCCCCUCCUCCUACCUCGCAGCUCCGGAGGCUGCCAGAUCCACAUACUCCCUACCCACCCAUCCCUCUUGCGACCCAUCUCUCUCUUCACGCGGCUCUUCGCUGCUCAACGUGCGGCGGCUGAUUCAAGCAAUGUCCGGCAAAUAUCGCCACCGCGAAGCACAGCCCCAGGUCCCCUCGCAUUGCGGCGCCCUCCCAUCCGGCUAGAUCCGGCCCUCACGGCCACCAAAGCCUACCCGCGGCCCUCCCCCAUAGCUAGGGUUCGGGCGUCGGCUCCGGCGCCGGUGGCCAUGCCGUCCUCCUAUCGUCCGACGUGCAACCAACUGGCUGUAUAUCCCUUCUCUCUACAGGGAAAACAAAUCCCAGGUCAAAACUAAUCCUAACCAUACGUGCUGCCUACGACAUGGGUGACAUGAUGGAAGUAACCAAGUCCUCCAUUGUCCAGUCAUACGUGACUCAGUUCCUGUCUUCAGGUUUGGCCCCGUUAGAUCAGGUAAGAUGCUCAUGUCCCCAUUGAAGAAAAAUAAAUGUAUGUGUAAAAUCCUCUUAUCAAUUUGACCAUUACAUUUUUUAUUUUCUUUACUGAAAAAUACUGCUGCUUUGUGGAAUUUCUUCAUCUUAUAUUGUUCUCCCGUGUAAUUUGAACGGAUGAAGCAUAAAUAUACUAUUUCCGUUGUACAUCUUAACUUAGUAUAUGAUGGCUUGUUGUGCACAUGCUACAGCCACGAUAUGUAUAUGGUUCCUUAUGUAUUGCUACGUUGGCUUUGAAACUGAGCAGAAUUAUUUCUUUUGUUGUUUAAUGGUUAGUUAUUGAUUUAUAUUUUGAAGAUUCUCCUCCUGUUUCCCGUCCGAAAUAAAAGUUGAUCUUCAAGUUUUCUUAGUCACACAUAUGAUUAUUAUGUACGACUGUAGCAUCAGCAAGGUCUUUUUAAUUAUUACCAAGUGAUGAAUAUUUGAACCACUAUUUGGCGGUAAGUUAGAAGCUUUCCCUUGCUUUCCGAAAAUGAUAUAGGUACUUCUAUUACAGCUCGGAGCUGAUGUAGUGUUAUCUCAGUACAGUGUCCAAUAUAAAUUUUGUUCUGUAUUCCUAUCCACUUCUAGUCAAAAUAAUCACGGUUGUAUUAUCUUUUUGACUGCCUUUUUGUCAACAUGGUAUCUCGAUGUAUCCUUUAAAAAUCAUGAAUAACAUUUAAAUAUUACAAGUUUGCCUUUUCAACUAAAAAGGAUAUUGUUAUUGUGGUUAACAUGAGUUCAGGACACAGUGCUUCUAUAGAUGUAUUUCUUUGGAUACUAUUCCCCACUAAAAGUCAGGAACGACUUCUAUUCUGCCUAUUACAUGUAUAAAAUCUGGAAAGAACUAAUGGUUUAGUUCUGCAAAUUCUAUACGGAAAGGGAAAGAACAAACUAGAUACAAGGAUAACCUUGAUGGAGUAUUAUUUUUUAAUACUAUCAGCCUGUACUCAUGAAAAUACACUACAAGGAAAUAAUCACCUACAAGUUGUCCCUAUAUAAGGUACUCUUUUGGCCAUUCCACUACAAAUUAGUUACUGUUUCAGCAAUUUCAAUACAAAUUAGUGUGUUUUUCCCAAUAUUAUGUACCUAGAACAGUAUACACCCUAUCGAUUUGCAACCAUCCAUUUCUAGGUCUAGAGUUUGAACCAUCUCUUUUUGUUCAUUAUCCCAAAAAAUAUUUACUCAUCGUUGAACAAUAACAUAAUGCCUGCCAUAGUAAGAAUUUGAACAGCAGUGUGCAUGUUCUUGAUGAUGAUCCCAUGAUAAGUUAGCAUUAUCUUUUUUGAAUUGGCAGGUAAGGUCCUACCGACGACAAUAUUUGACUUCAUUGUAUUUUUGUUCCUCUCAUGGGACAUCAUACCAGAGUUGAAACUGAACUAAAGGAGGACGCCAUGGAGCAAGUCGAGUUCGUGCAGCAAGUCAUGGACGAUGCCAAGGAAGGUUGUGUCGUAUAUUGUGGCGUCUGGAUUAGUCAUCAAGGACAACACACUCAUGCUGGUUCAAAAGAUACAUGGAUGAUUAUAUGGGUGCAUGGCAAGUACACUGCAAUGUGAUGAUGAUGAUGAUCUUCCAGUUCAUGAUGAUGAUGAUGGAUGCUUUCAAUUUUAGUUAAGUUGUAGGGAUGUUGUUCCUAUUUGAUGAUGUUCCUCGGUUAUGUUUUAGUUAAGUAUGAGGGAUGUUAAUGAAUGCUUUUAGUUUAAGUUUCUUUGUCGAGAAAAUAUUUAGAUAUGCAUCACAUUUGGAUGCUCUUCCUCCUGUAAUAUCCACUACUGUAAUCCAACAAUUUUAUCCAAUAUAUGAUUUCUUCCU